UAUAGCUCAGUGGUAGAGCAUUUGCCUAGUGUGCAUGAGAUCCUGGGUUCCAUUCCCAGUA
rnacentral:tRNA from 1 species